GCCUCAGUAGCUCAGGGGGAGAGCACUCGGCUGAAGACCGAGGUGUCGGUGGUUCAAAUCCGCCCUGAGGCA
rnacentral:tRNA from 1 species